rnacentral:lncRNA from 10 species
UCCCCCUCACCCACUGCUCUCUUUCUUCCUCUUUUUUUAGAAACACAGCCUGGCUCCUUUGCCCUGGCUGGAGUGCAGUGGCACAGCCAUAGUUGACUGCAGCCUCAAUCUCCUGCACACAAAUGAUCCUCCCGUAGAAGGUUGCUGAUUCUCGAAAAAGAAUCUGGGAAAUGAUAGCCUAGGGUCAGGAGGGCCAGGUACCAAAAGGGAGGCUGGCUGGGGUUGUUAAUUUUAAUUAAUUUAAAUUUUAAAACCUAAUACUUAAUUCAGGUAUUGAAAAACUUUUAAGUAUGUUUAGAACAAUCUGCUCUUUCAAUUGUAAAUUGAAAUCUAAAUACAGAUCAAGUGAGGGAGAGUAUAUAAAAAUUCUCUUGCUCUCUUUGCUUCUGUAGAUGUAGUUAACAAGUCCACUUUUAGGGCUUAAUCUGCUGGGCACACUUUCUUGAUUUUAUAGCUAGAAAUGAUCUAAUUUAGGCAGAGGGGGCUGCCUGAAGUAAAUACAGCACUGGUUCAAUUAGGUGGGGAUAGAUAUGCACUACCUUUAAAAGAAGAUAAAGACAUUUGAACUGUUGGAAAUACUAAACCGAUCAGCCAUCACCCUUUCCUAACAUACCCAGAUAGUAGCUGCACCCCCUGCUUUGCUUUGGGACUAUAGGCAGAGCCAAGGGGACUGUCCCCUCUGCAUGACCCGCAGCUACUCUCCCUUUGUCUGCAAACAACCGAGAGGAGCGAGUUGGAGCCCAGAGCAGCAGAGACUCAGCCUAGCAGCUGACUGGGCCAGGUGCGUUUCCAUUGGCUGCAGAGGCCCGGUUGAGCUCUAUUUUCUUCUGUACAUAAAGAUAAGAAGCCAAGGGCCCCCUUCCGAAAGCAAACACGUUUAAUUGGAACCACCGCCUCCCCAUGAUUCACCGGAUGGAAUUUACAAUGGUGUUUACCUUUUUCCACAAAAGUAGCAAAUGAAUCAAUCCCAAUAGGAAAUAUAAAUCUAGGAAAUAUAAAUCCCCAGCAGAUGCAUUUCGAACCACACAGGAAAGGACUCACUGAGAAAGAAGGCCCCUGUAACUCUAGAGGGUUUUGCCCAGAAGUAAGAGUCAAGAGUGGUCCAGAUUAGUUGAGGAGAAGCAACUUCACAUAUGAGCUUAAAACAAGUCCUUGCACGAGCCACCUUUUGCUUGGCCCCUCUUAGCAGUGGGAAUUCAGACAAAACUUCAGGAAUGCUUUGCUGGGCAGCUGUGGUGCAUUCAAAGCAGAGAAACUGCCUUAAUCUUUGCAAAACCAACAAAGAUAAGCAAUAGCUUUAGCUGGGCUGAAAUUAGCCAAUGCGCUGCUACACAAUGCCCUGGUGACCAUUAUCCAGGCUCUGACCGCCGCACGGCACUGCGCAAGCAUGCUGGCAAUGUUUAACAAACCAUCUGUCUUGUACCUGCUCCCACUCAACAGGGGCCUUUGUUUGAACCCUGGCCCCAUCCAGCAUGUCAGCUAUCUAUUCCCCAACAGGGGAAGCCCCUUCAUCCCAUUGUACAAUUUUCAUAACUCUUUUGAUUCCAGUUUGUCCUACAGAAUGACUUCUGCCAGAGAACAUUUUGGAAAGGGAGAUAUGGAUUCUGAAUCUGUCCACUGAUUAGUUUCUAGAGCACCAUGUGUGUGAAACCUUACUUGCUUAUGUGAUUUCCCCCUCAUUUGUCUUUUUUUAAGAGAAUUUCAAUAUUCAUUCAAAUGUUGAUUUUAUUUUUUCCUUGGUUAGCUGUGUUUAAGUUAGAAACCUCUCUCUCUUGUUCUUUUCCUCUCAGAUAUAUGUUUUAUACUGCAGUAAGAUAUUUUCUGCAUAUGUCGGGUGCAGUGGCUCACAACUGUAAUCUUAGCACUUUGGGAGGCUGAGGCAGAAGGAUCGCUUGAGCCCAGAAGUUUGACAGGAGACCCUGGACUCUACAAAAUAUAUACACACGUGCAUGUACAUACAUACACACACACACACACACAUAUACACACAUAUACUCUGCCUAAAUCGCACAGUACCUGGAAUUUACUGAUUAUAUUACAUAGGUGUUAGACGAAACCAUUUGAACUUAAUGUUUUCAUAGAUUUAUAACAAAUAUUGACGGUUCAUUUCAUAUGGUCCAAUAUAUGUAUUUCCUUGUAAAACUGCCCACAUUAUUUUAGACUAGAGAUUUGAGAAGAUAACUGAUCCAAUACAUGGUUUUUAUUAAAAAAAAGAAAGUCUCCUUUGAGAAUUUAUUUAUUUAUUUAUUUUGAGAUGGAGUCUCCCUCUGUCGCCCAGGCUGGAGUGCAGUGGCGCGAUCUCGGUUCACUGCAAGCUCCGCCUCCCAGGUUCACGCCACUCUCCUGCCUCGGCCUCCCGAGUAUCUGGGACUACAGGCGCCCGCCACCAUGCCCGGCUAAUUUUUUGUAUUUUUAGUAGAGACGGGGUUUCACCGUGUUAGCCAGGAUGGUCUCGAUUUCCUGACCUCGUGAUCUGCCCGCCUCGGCCUCCCAAAGUGCUGGGAUUACAGGCGUGAGCCACUGUGCCCAGCCGAGAAUUUAUUAUUUCUCUUUUUCUUCUUCACCUUGCCUGGCUCUCAGCGAUUCUCCCUCAUGCUCAGGAGUAAAAUGUCCCCAUAUUCUUUUUCUAUAUGUCACCAUGCUAACGUAAUUUCAAUUACCUCAGAUACACCUUCGCAAUGGUGACCACAAGAAUCCACUCAGCCUUGGAAGCUGUCCUUGAAACUCACCCUGAAAUCCCUGCCUAGCAGACAGGAGACCUCAGGCUGGACUCCACUCACUAUGUUAUCUCGGCCUCCCCGGGACUCUUAGGACACGACUUUCUUAAUCUUUCCAAGGGGCUAAGCUUAACCAAAAGGAAAUACUGCAUAAGAUGUGUGAAUACUUCAAGAUCUGUGGAAUAUGAAGCUGAAAACAGCUCUGUGUUUAGAAAUGGUUACCGUGCAUGUGUCUGUUUCCCCGAACUAGCACCAGAGCCUCGGUUUGAGGGUCUGUAUUUGAUCCUUUUCUCCUUAGAAAAGAGAGACCUUGUUGAAGGAAUGUUCUUUUUCCAGAGGAAAUUUGGGAAACAAAACGGUCACCUUAAAAACAGCAGCACAAGAAAGUUUGUCCUUAAAUUUAAAUUUUCUUUCAAGCCAGGAAUUAAAGCAAAGGUGGGAGUGGAAGAAUCUCUUCAGAUUGUAACUCUUGAAAUUUCCAGGCUAAGGGAAGUCACUGUGGGAGCAUUCGAGCAGAUUGGUGGUCACCACUGGGGAUUCUAGGAAAGACACGUUUCUUCAUGUUUUUAAUCUCAUCCUUUAAUUCCAAUUUCGGUGUAUGUUAUAUGUUUUGUAAGGUAUUCUAACAUUAAAUACGUGUUAUAUGAAUACAGUGUAUGUUCAUGAAUAUUUCCUUCAGUUUUAUAUUUGAGUUGUUUUGGCCUUUUGACUUGUGAAUAAUGCUGCUGUGAACAGCAUGUGCAUGUAUUUGUUGGAGUCUCUGUUUUCAGUUCUUUAGGGCGUAUACCUAGAAGUCUCUAGGUCAUAUGGUAAUCCUAUGUCAAUUUUUUUGAGGUAUUGCCAAGCCGUUCCCCACAACAGCUGCACCAUUUUACUUUCCUACCAGCCAUUGUAAAAGGGUUUCAGCUUCUCCGCAUCCUUGUCAACACUUAUAUCCCUUAAAACAACAACAGCAAUGAACUCACGGUCAUCCUAGUGGAUGUGAAAUGUUGUGUCAUUGUGGUGUUUAUUUGCAUUUUCCAAGAGUCAUCUUUGUCCACAUGUCCUUUGAAUUGAACUUCAAGGACAAGGAUAUGCACCCUCUGGUGUUGGUUGAGAAUGAUUUGUGGGUCCUUCCACAGUCCCCUCUGGUAUCUCCUAGAAGCUACCACAUGGCCACAGGUGCGGGUGCCUCAGUAGGUCCCCCUUCCUAAGAAGCAUCGCUGUCACCAGGCCAAGCAGGCCAGGAAGGAGGAGUGGUGUGUACCCCAUAGUGAAGGGAAAAGAAAAGAAGACUCAACUGCAGGCAGAGAAGGAGCAGGAUCAUUGGAGCCCAGGGUGUGGAGACAGCCAGGCUCUGGGAAGUCAGAAGAAAGAGCACUUUUCUAGGCAAAAGGCCCUGUGAUGGGCCAGAGUCCUGAAGCCUAAACAGGACCAUAGCACGGAGGUGUGUUCUGUGUGCACAGGCAAAGAGACACAACCCAAGGCCAAGAGUGGGCAGGAAGGCAAGGAGUGAAGUGAGAUCUCCGGUACAGAAGGCAGGUGGACAACAUAGGCUUAGACCAGGGAGCUUCAGAGUCUUGGGGUCCAGAAUAUACUGGCACAUCUGCAAACAAAUGGAGGAGCAAUUCCUGCUCCUGAGCCCAGAACCUCUCCUCUGUUUCGGGUUGAAAUGGUGGUUCUCAACCUGGGCCACAGUUCGAGCCACUUGCUGAGCUUAUUAAAAUCCCCAUGCCCAAGCCAACUAAAUCAGAUCCACUGUGUGUGGGGACCCAGGCAUCAGUAUUUUGACAUUCCCCUACUAAUUCAAAUGGGAAGCCAAGUUUGAGAAAAGAAGAAUUUUAGGUUUAAAAUAGUAGAUUUAAAAUGUGGAAUUUAUUAGAUGUUUUUGUUAUGAAAUAAAUAUGAUCAUGUUGUAGGAGUUUGGAGGAAAAGAAGAUGAUGAAGGAAGAAGAUACCACCUGUUGCCUCCUGACCUUCUGGCUGAUGCAGAUGUUGCAGCCUGUGCCCUAUUUGGGGGGUUCCAUUCCUAAAAGAACAAAUUGGGACUGGCAGCCAGGGUUGGGCUGUGCUGCUGGGGAUAGGAUGUGAUGUAUCUUCUGAGUCCCCAGCACUGAGGCGGGCGUAGUGAUGGUAGCACUCAAUAAAUGUUUGUAGGGUGAGUGAAUGGAAGCAUGAAGGCAUGAAUUCAUGAAAAGCAGCCCGAGACAUGG